GAGUGGCGAAAGGGCGAGGAAUACUUGGGUAACGUACCCCGGGCACAGGGAUAGCUGUGGGAAACCGCAGGUAAUACCUGAUAAGACCACAGUUCCUACGGGAACAGCGGUCAAACGGUGGGGACCUUCGGGCCUACCGGCCUGGGAGCGGCCAAGUCCUAUCAGCUUGUUGGUGAGGUGACGGCUCACCAAGGCAACGACGGGUACCGGGACUGAAGUUGGUCCGGCGCAUGGACUGAACCUGCCAACUCCUACGGAGGCUGCAUAACGAAUAUUGGACAAUGGGCGCAAGCCUGAUCCAGCGAACGGCCGCGUGCAGGAUGAAGUCCUUCGGGAUGUAAACUGCUGUCAGGGAUCACCAAGCAAUACCGGCUAAUUCCGGUUGCGUUGAGGACUCCCAAGAAGCCACGGUAACUUCGUGCCAGCAGCCGCGGUAAGACGAAGUGGGAGCGUGUCGGAUCCUGGGCUUAAGAGCACGUAGGCGGUCUGUCAAGCGUCUUGUGAAAGCCCUCGGUCAACCGGGGAAUUGCUUGGCGAACUGGCAGACUUGAGCAGGUAGGGCAUUGGAACUCUUGGCGGACGGUGGAAUGCGUAGAUAUCAAGAGGAACGCCAGAGGCGAAGGCGAACUGCUGGGCCUGUCCUGACGCUGAGGUGCGAAAGCCAGGGUAGCGAACGGGAUUAGAUACCCCGGUAGUCCUGGCCCUAAACGAUGUCCACUAGAUCGAGGAUUCUCUGAAGGAUUCUUGGUCGAAAUGAAAACGUUAAGUGGACCGCCUGGGGAGUACGGUCGCAAGGCUAAAACUCAAAGGAAUUGACGGGGGCUCACACAAGCGGUGGAGCAUGUUGCUUAAUUCGAUGCAACGCGAAGAACCUUAUCCUGGGCUUGACAUGCUUGGAUGCCCAUCUGGAAACAGAGUAGGCUGCCCUUCGGGGUGAAACUUGCACAGGUGCUGCAUGGCUGUCGUCAGCUCGUGUCGUGAGAUGUCGGGUUAAGUCCCAUAACGAGCGAAACCCUUGUCACUAGUUGCCAGCGCGUAAUGGCGGGGACUCUAGUGAGACUGCCGGUGUUAAACCGGAGGAAGGUGGGGAUGACGUCAAGUCCUCAUGGCCUUUAUGCCCAGGGCUGCAAACGUGCUACAAUGGCCGGUACAAACCGAAGCGAAACGGCGACGUGGAGCAAAUCGGAAAAAGCCGGCCUCAGUUCGGAUUGGAGUCUGCAACUCGACUCCAUGAAGUCGGAAUCGCUAGUAAUCGCGUAUCAGAACGACGCGGUGAAUGAGUUCCUGAGCCUUGUACACACCGCCCGUCAAGUCAUGGAAGCCGAGAGCACCCGAAGUCGG
rnacentral:rRNA from 1 species